rnacentral:lncRNA from 1 species
GUGAUACUAAAGAAUAUCCUUAGCCGUAAUGCAGGGGUGAUUCGAUGAUGUGGAUCAUUUAUUAAGCUGAGUCCCAGUGAUAAAAGUGAUGAAAAACCUUUUAAAUCAUAAAAGAUAGUAGAUUUUAUUCUCUACUUGACUCUUUUAAUGGUUUGCUUGUUCCGCUGUAGUUAAACUUGAUGGUUGUUAUAUUAUAUCAGUUUAACACUGUUGAAGGCUAACGAUAAUAUAUUUUGCAUUAUCUUAGUUAUAAUAUUUCCUACUAGACUAGUUGAGCUCACCCUUUUUACUUUCAUUGUUCUCUUCAGAAAAUGAGAACGUAGCAGGGACUAGUCGGGGAAUGGAGUGACGGACCAGAUGAUAGCAUUAGUAGUCCUAACUAUUCUGUGAAAUAGUGGGAAAAUAAAUGUAAUAAUAUUGAAUUUGAGUUUGUAUAUUGUCUAGACGACAAUAUUUGUAUUAAAACUCACAGCUUAUGUUUUGUCGUACUUUGCACGACAGUUGUAUAAUUAAGUUGUAUUUGUAUUCUGUACCAUGUAUUUGGCGACUCAGAAUAGGUGAUGUAUACCUGUUUUGGGGGCGUCACAAAUAUGAUGCAGAAAUUACUGUAGCAAUAAUU